AUGCUAAUUGGCACCAUGGGAGUGGGACAGAAAUGAUAUUUUCAUAAAAUUUAUUUCGUCGUCCCACCCCAACUCGCUUUGCCUGUAGAAUUUCUUUUCGAAAUUCUCUGUGUUGGGGCCCACACCCCAACUUGCAUUGUCUGUAGAAAUUGGGAAUCCAAUUUCUCUUUGUUGGGGCCCCUGACUAGAAUUGAAAAAAGCUUGUUACAAGCGCAUUUUCGUUCAGUCAACUACUGCCAAUAUAACUUCGUAGAGCAUAGAACAUUGAUUUAU
rfam:Staphylococcus aureus subsp. aureus NCTC 8325, complete genome.